rnacentral:lncRNA from 1 species
UAUUUGCCUCUUCUAUAGCCAAUAAGUGCUACCAUUGAUUAGAAAUCCCACAAAGAUUGCAUCGUUAAAGUUGUGUCUUCUUGGUGACCCCGAUCAAAAUUUGAAAAUGAUGGUUAUAGCUGACUCGCAAUCGACUUGCUGAUACCAGGUAAACUCUUAAUAGUAGAAAUUAUUUCAAUCUUAAUAUCUAUACUUCAUUGGACUGAAUUCCACAGUUGGAAUUAAUACCACCAAUAAAAGUUUAGAUAUUGCCAUAAAAAAUAAAUUCCACAUUGUUUCAAUCAGUGAUAUAAGUAAUCUGAAUCAAGCUAAGCUUAUAGAUAAUUAACUAUUUUGAAAAUUUAAAGUCCUGAUUUAGUACCAUAUGAACACCUCAAAGCUCUCACCAGGUGCAAGUACUGUCAACCAACCGUAAUUGCUUCAGACUUAAACCAUUCCCAAUAAUUUUAACAUCUAUAGCUUCACUUAUGAUUCAGAUAGUAACAUUGUAAGAAUAGUCCUAAAAGAAUAGUCUCCUAUUGAGCAGAACUGCUGAUAUAUUUUGUCCUAAUGUAAGGAGUGUUUCCUUUGUCCAUCAUGAUAAUUUCCUGCCUUCACUAGGAACAUCUUGAUCUGAAUUAAAUUCAUAUGUACCUGCAAAAUUGAAAACCAAGUUAGCAAAAAAAAUCAGCAAAAGUAUUUCCCUCCCUUAAGGAGUGUUGUACUCUUAUUCUGUGAAUUGAGCCAACCUCAAUACUCACACUCCAAGGAAUUUUCCAGUUUCCAUUAAUGAUGUUAACCAUUGCCAAAGAAUCAGUCUCAAUAAUAAUGUUAGAAUAAUGAUUCUCUAAACAAUAUUGUAAACCUUCACUUAUAGCCUUAGCUUCAGCCACUAAAGUUGUGGAAUCAAUAAUUUUCAUCUCCUUAUCCCCAAAAACCUGCCUUCAUGAUUUCUUAAGCAAAAAGCAGAAGCACUGAGACCUGGGUUUCCUCUAGAGUCCCCAUCAGUGUUACAUUUCAGCCAACCUAUAGGAGGAGGAAUCCAUUUAACAAUUUUAGAAUGAACCACAGGUCUGAACCUUUCCAGAAGAGCUACCAUAUAAGGCCAAGUAUUAGGGAUAUGAUCAUAGUGAAAAUGAGACCUAAUAAACUUGUGGAUAGUAGCAUUGAUAUCCCAAAUCACCUUGUUUCUAAUAUAGACCCCUCCAUGUAAGAUAGUAUUCCUCCUCUUCCAUAGAAACCACAGAAUAAUGUUAGGAACUGCUUGAAAAACCAUUCUCAGCCUAGUAUUACCUUGUGCCACCCACCACUUUUUCAUGGUAUAUUUAAUUUGAACCCAAGGACCUAGUAUACCAGCAGCCCUUACAUAAUGAUCCCAAAUAGAAGUUGCCACUUCACCUGAAAGAAAAAAAUGUUCAAUAGUUUCUCUUACAGGAACCCUGCAACACUAACAUAAGGGAGAAAUGUUAGGAUUCCAUGAAGAAAUGAUAUCAGCAACGGGAGCAACGGGAACUCUGUAAGUCCAUACCCUCCAACCAAAGAAAGAAAAUUUUGAAAGGUAGCCCCUUCACCCAAAUUCUCUUAAUGUCUUCAUAAACUUCAUCCCUACUUCUAAGAAUCUCCCAUGCAGACUUUACAGUGAACUUGCCAGUACUAGAUUUUAUCCACCAAGGUUUAUCCAUUUGAUUGUCUUACCCUGCUCAUACUUUGUCUCACAUGAUCCACAAUAUGACUAGGUAAAUACUCUUGCAUACUAUUAUAAUCCCAUCCAGAAUCCUUCAAAAAAACCUCAAUAUCAUCCAAAGAAUGACAACCGUGCACUUCUGUCGGAUGUAGAAACAAAGGACCAUGACUAGUCCAAUUGUCAAACCAAAUGCUUGAUGUUCCUCCUUUAGGUUCCCACCACAAGUUUUGUUCUAUUAUUUCUCUAUUUUCCAACAUUUGUUUCCACACUUGUGAGCCACCUUUCCACUGAACAAGGGUGGGAAUUUGCUUCUUACAAUACUUAUUCCACAUGAAAUUUGCCCAUAGUGAAUUUUGAGUUCUAAAUUUCCACCAAAGUGUAGCAUACAUAGCUUUAGAUACAUCAAUCAUAGAUCUAAAACCCAAACCUCAUUCAUUUUUUGGUAAGCACACCUUUUCCCAUGCAGCCCAAUGUUUGCUUCUACCUGUAAGCUUGUUACUCCAAUAAAAUUUUGCAAAAAUUCUAUGAAGCUCUUUCAUCACUCAAUUAGGAGGGGCAAUAGCAGAAAGUACAUGAAUAGGAAUGCUUUGUAACACACUAGACAACAGAACUUCUUUACCCCCAAAAGAAAGCAUGUUUCCUUUCCAAGCCUGAAGUUUAUCUUUCACCCUUCUGAUGAGAUCUGCAUAAUGCUCUUUUCUUUUCCUAGCAUGAGUUAUGGGACAACCUAGGUAUUUUAAAGGGAAGUGACCCCUAGACAUACCUGUACAUUCCUCCACCACUACUCUCAUAUUUGUGGCAGUACUUUGAUGAAGAUAAAAUGCACUUUUCUCUUUAUUAAUUUGUUGUCCAGAUUCACCUUCAUAUUCCUGCAAAGUUUCAACUAUCCUAUUCAAAGAGUAAUUAUCAGUAGACGCAAAAAUGAUGGUAUCAUCUGCAUAAGCCAGGUGGUUAAUUUGUGCACUCCACUUUGGUAAACCAUACCCUACAUAUUGCACAUCAUCAAACAAAGCAUUCAAAGACCUGGAUAAAACCUCCGCUGAUAGAAUAAACAAUGCCGGAGAGAGAGGAUCUCCUUGUUUCACUCCUCUGGUUGAAUGAAAUAAGCCAUGUGAUUGUCCAUUAAUUAGUACAGAGUACCAAUUAUUGGAAAUCAAUCUCCAAAUUAUGUCAACCAAAUCAUUUGAGAAGCCCAUUUUUCUUAAUACUUUCAUUAGAAAAAACCAUGAUACUCUAUCAUAAGCUUUGGCCAUAUCAAGCUUAAUUACCACAUUAUCGGGCUUACCUUUUUUUCUAAUAUUUGUAACAAUCUCUUGAGUCAGCAGAACAUUUUCAAUGAUACUUCUCCCUUUCACAAAACCAGAUUGAUUAUUUGAAAUCAACCUUGGAAGUAAAGACUCAAGUCUAUCAUGAACAAUUCUAGAGAUGACCUUAUUAAUAAAAUUACUCAAACUGAUUGGCCUCAAAUCUGAGAAAGACUGUAUAUUAUCUUUCUUUGGUAACAGAAUUAGGUUGGUAUGAGUAAUGGACUUAGGUAAAGAAUUACCUUGAAGGAAAUCCUGUACCAAUGCUAGAAUAUCAAUGCCAACAAUGUCCCAGCAGCUUUGGUAAAAUCUCCCUGUCAAACCAUCAGGACCACUAGAACUAUCUCCAUUAAGUUUGAAUACAACAUUCUUUACCUCUUCUAAUUCUGGCAUUCUGCAUAAAACUGAGUUUUCCUCCGCAUUGAUCAAAGUGGGAAUAUGCCUUAGUAAAGGAAAAUCAGUCGCAUCCCUCUCUUGUGUGAAUUGCUUUUGAUUAGGUCCUUUGAAGACUUCUUCAACUCGGAUCGAUCAGACCUAUACCACAAACUGAAGUUAAGUGAGCAAAGCUUUCUCCUAUUUCAUCUUUGUGCACUGUUAUACUUCGAUUUAAUUCAUCCAUGAACUUCUCUACAGGUUGAGCCCCAAAGAGGCUGAUACCACUGCAUAAGGAGGCCACAUAUGGAUUCUAUCUCCGCAUAAACAGUAUAUUGUAAUUACAUCCACUUAUGCAAGUAUGCAGGUACUGUCAUCACCUUUUGAUAUUUCUUUGUCAUUCAUGUCGGGUUUUUCUUGUUUGUCUCAAUUAUGUUUGUGUAAUGAAAAACAUGUUUUGGAUGUUUCUAAUUUUAAGAUUGGAAAUUUGUGUUUUAUCUAGGUGUAAUAUUGCUUUUCCUUUUGGUGCUAAAUCUUGGAAAUCUGAAUAGAUGAUAUAUGUUGUGCCUGCAAAAAGAAAAAACCGGUUAGCUAAAUAAUCUGCAAAAGUAUUGUCUUCCCUAAGGGUGUGCUCCACUCUUGCAUCAACAUUAAUUCUCAGACCAUUGAUCUUUUUCACCUUCACCCGACUACUCCAAGGAACCUCCCAAAUUCCAUUCAAAAUCUUUUGGAGCAUUAAUGAGCCAGUCUCCAAUAUUACUGGUAAGUAUUGAUGCAUUAUACAGUACUUCAGUCCUCUUCGCAAAGCCAUUGCCUCAGGCAUUAAAACUAAAGUUAUUCCCAAACAAAAAGACUCAGCAUGUAUCAAAUUUCCUUCAUCAUUUCAAAUACAAAAGGCCCCAACACUAGGGCCACCAACUCCUUUUACUGAACCAUUCGAAUUACACUUGUAGGACCCUAAUCUAGGUAGUCUCCAGUAAACCAUCUUAAGAUCAAUAAGGGGGUGCAUAUUCAGUAAAAAAAGGAACCAUCAGAUGCCAAGUAUUAGGAAUGUUUUGCAACCAAGGAUAGCUAAGAGUAGCUAGAUGAUAUAAUUUUUGUUGACCUCUAUAACCAUACCAUAAAAUGACAUAUUACCUCCAUGAGAAAUUAUAUUUCUCCUUUUCCAUAAUUGCCAAGUGAUAAAUAACGAGACAACCUUGAAGAGAGGUCUAAGCUUUGACGAGCAGUCCUUAUUCCACCAUUUAUGUAUAGUAUCAUUAAGGUGCAAAAAAAAAAGUCCUUUCACAUCAGUAAUACAAGCAAACGUAUUCCACAACUUCUUAGCCAUAGAGCAAGUCAUGAAAAGAUGUUCAAAAGUUUCAUCUUCUGAACUAUUACAGCAGCAACACUUAACUUCAUCCACCACUUUAAUCUUGAUAAGAACCUCCCCUAUGAGUAUUCUUUUUUUCCACAAUCUCUAAAGAAAGAAAGAAAAUUUGAAGGGAACUCCUUUUCACCCAAAUCUUCUUAGCAAUUUCUUGUUCAUCAUUUCCUUGUCUCAAAACCUUCCAAGCACUUCCAACCGUAAAUUUGAAGGGAACUCCUUCCACCAUUUAUGUAUAGUAUCAUUAAGGUGCAAAAAAAAAAGUCCUUUCACAUCAGUAAUACAAGCAAACGUAUUCCACAACUUCUUAGCCAUAGAGCAAGUCACAAAAAGAUGUUCAAAAGUUUCAUCUUCUGAACUAUUACAGCAGCAACACUUAACUUCAUCCACCACUUUAAUCUUGAUAAGAACCUCCCCUAUGAGUAUUCUUUUUUUCCACAAUCUCUAAAGAAAGAAAGAAAAUUUGAAGGGAACUCCUUUCACCCAAAUCUUCUUAGCAAUUUCUUGUUCAUCAUUUCACUAAAUUGUCUUAGAUAUAUUUAUACUUUUAAAGAAUUAUUCAUUUAUAAUAUUAGAUUCAUUGUAUUAGGUUUAAGAAGGUCAACAUAUUUGCAUCCUUGAGCAGAUUCACAAACCAAAUCAUUAAGCAAACUUUUAGAUUCGUCAGGCUUAUCCUUCAUUCCAAUGUCUUGGUUGCUAAUGGGAAUUGAAUUGGAAUUUGGUGGAGGGGGGAAUUGAGUACUAGAAUUGAGAGAGAUUUGCUGGCCAGCCGCCGAAGCAGGCUGACCAGUGGCCAAUAUGGCCAUGAUCAAUCAGAAAUUUCUUGUAGCAGCAAGGGUUUUGCAGUCAAAAACCCUGUUGUAAAAUUGAAGUUAAAAUGAGGGAUAUAAAAUUAUUAAACAAACAUUCAUUUACAAAUAAUAUGUAUCAAAUUUUUUAAAAAUUCGAUGCAAAUUUUAAUUUAUAAUAUAGCAUGAAAUAAACACGUUGAGAGAGACUAGUAUUAUAUCUUAAAAGAAUGAACUCCCUAAAAUGAAAGUUAAAUAAUGCAAACCUGUGAAAAACAAUAACAUCAACAACUCUAAUCAUUUGCGUAAAUACCUUAUACCCCUAACCUAAUAGAAACCCCUAACUAAAAACUUCAUCACGCUACACUCCUUGCCGCGCUAACGCCCAUUUCUGGACAGGCGCUAACGCCCAUUUAAUCUCCAACAUCUCUCUUUUCUCCCACAAAACACUAUAUGCUUUGGCGAAAUUGCUUGCCAUUGUUUACGGAUUUGCUUUUGACACCUCUCUUACAGAUACAUUUAGCACUGCAAAAAGAAAUAGAUUAUUGUUAGGAUAUACUACAAUCUUAGCUGAUAUGUUAAGUCUUACAAUAUCUCGGGCAAUAAUUUUUUACAAGUGAAUCAUUUUAUUUGUUUUAGAAUGAUAAGUUUCGAAAGCAAAUGAAUGCUUACAAAUAACAAGUUCAAACAAAAUAAUAGAUAUAUCCAUCUUCACCACCAUAUACAAGGACAGAAACUUGUCAAGAAGUAUUUGAGAACAUUGAGUCUGUAACCCAAUAAAGAGAACUCCAUACAAAUAUAGGAUACAACACAAGUGUAACAACUAAGCACUCUCUUGGUGAUGAAAUAUAAUUUGAGGACUACGGGAUAAACCAACAAAAUAUCACCAACCACCCUAUUUAGCAUGCCAGAUAUGAAUCUCUGGAACUAAGCCCCGUGAACCCUUAGUAACAGUAUUAUCUCUGCAACAGGGAGCAACUAUAGUCGUAUAUAUUGAUAUCCAUGAACCAGACAAGAGACAGAGAGUUCUGCAACUAACACUAACAGCAGAGCAUCUGAAAUAGUGUUAGAAGCUGCUUGCUUCAAUGUGAACAUAUGUUGGCUAGUCCAACUGUAAAUAAUUAUAAGGUGUAAACUGUUUGUUUAUUCAAGUAAAGAAGCCCCC